rnacentral:lncRNA from 1 species
CAGGCUUUAGGCUUAAAAAUUGUUUUUAUCUCUAAUAUUUAUCUAGAGCCAUAGAAUUGACCAAAUAAUUGGUUUUUAGAGCUACUAAGACCUUAAAGACCAUCAAAUGUGCUGGUUUUCAACAUUAGCUGCAUGUUGCAAUCACCUGGGGAGCGUUUAAAACUCCUGAUGCCCAGGCUGCACCCCAUACCAAUUAAAUCAGGAUCUCUAGAGUUGGGAACUGGGCAUCAGUAUUUAAAACAAUUUUCCAGAUGAUUCCACUGUGUAGUCAAGUUGGAAAACCAAGGAUCUUCUCUACAGAUGUUCCAAGAAGUGAAGUGACCAACUCAGAUUGCCAACUGGUGCAGAACCAGAACUGGAAUCUAGGACUUUCCGAACCAGUCUGACCUCUGCCCCCUUACACCACGCAGGCUCCCGGCUACAGAGGGCUAACACACGCCACCCCACUCUGACUGCUAAGCUGGUGCUUCUGCAACUUUGACUUGCCUCCCAAUUACCCAGAGAGUUUAUUAAAUCCAGGUGAUGAUGCUGCUCGUCUGGGUACCACCCUCUGAGAACCACUGUGUAAGCUAUCCUAGCACUCUCCCUUCACCCACAAGCACACCUACCUAGCACCCAGGUGGUCGAUUUGGACUCUUCUCAUCCCCGUGCUGUACGGUGCAGUAUCUCCUUGUUUCUCCAAAAGCUGUGAAGCUAUUCUGUUCACUUGGAACCUAAGAACCACCCACAGAUGAAGGGUCGUUUCCUGCCGAGGGAUUUUUCAGCCAUUGUGCUUUGCUGAAUUGCAACAUUUGGCCACAUUAUUUCCAGAGCUGGGUUUUUUGGUUUUUUUUUUUGCCUUAUCCCUGAGAGAGUGAAAGAUGUGCUUCAUAAUGGGCAACACCAAGGAGGUUAAAGUUCACCGACAAGGACCAUUCGUUAGGCAGGAUGGGUGUCUGCAGUCUGCUUAUCAGCCUCCACAUGUGGCCAGAGUUGGAAAAACUGACAGGCAGUAGAAUGAAACCCGGGCACCUGUGGAAAUCCAGGCCUAAUCCCUUCCCAUAAAACAAAGUGGAAGAUAAGUGGAAACGGUUGAAACCUGAAAGCAGAUGGCUGAGUUGCUCCACACCGGGCCAUAAAGGGGAACCUUUGUGACAGAGUAUUUAUGGGUUUGGGGAAACCUGACAAGGUGUUGCUGUAAAUGCCAAGAAAUAUACAGAACAGUGAUUUUGUUAUUUGAACACAUCUCAUGAUACCUGCAGCUUCGCAAGGAUGGAGAAAGACAGAUGCUGUGUGUGUGUGCACGCACAUUAGUUUAGCUCAUGCUGCUAUGAGAAGACGAACUUGGUGGUUGGGGGAAAAGGGCUGCCAAGGGAAAUCCCUGUGCAGUAUCAAUCUCUUCCCUAGCUGCUCCCUGCCAAAUGACAGAUGCCAGUCGGAUGAAACCAGCGGUGUCUCCCAUUGUAGGGCAGUAGUUCUCAAUAAGCAGUUCCUGGACCAGCAGGGCAGCAUCACCUGGAAACUUACAGAAAUGUAAAUUCUCGGGCCCCACCCCAGAUCUACUCCAGGGGUAGGGCCAACAUCUCCUGAUCACAACAUCUUGUGAAUGGCAAGCCCUUCAGCUGAUUCUUGCUGAAGUUUGAAAACCACUAAUACAGACGUUUAGGAUAUUUGCAUUGGAGCAGAGGAGAUCAUCCGUGGAGAGUGGUGAAUUUCCUGGUGGGGAUUUGGGAGCGCUGUGAUGAGUCAGUGGAGGAGGUAAAAUUUAGGGGAGCAGCUGGGCCCCUUUUUAGGCCUCUAGAUGACUCCCUGUUUUGCCCAUGUGUGAGACCCGCCCCUGGGGCCAUCUUUAGUGGAGCUAGCCUUGGGUAGGUGAUGUUGCUGCUGAUACCAGGGUUCUUAUAUCCUUGAGAGGGUCCCCCAAGGAGCAGGCUGCCCAGCUCACCCCACUGCCAACACCCACUUCCUGACGCUCCUCUAUUCUCCAGCCUGCAUUGGAUGCAUCUUCUCUGGGAGCUCUUCUUUGCAGUGGUUCUCACUCCACCCCUACCUGCCCCCAAACAUACACUCUCACACCCACUCACACUCUCCCUCUCAUGCCCCCUCCCCUGCCCCAAGUCAAGGACACAGAGGGCAUCCCUGCUUUUCCUUUCUUCUCUCUUGGGGGAUGAACCCAAGAGAGGCAGGCAGCAGAGUUUCUUUGAUGAGAACUCUGUAAAAUGUUGCUCACAGAGCUGCUUUCCACGUGUUUUGGCUGUAGAAUUUCCAAUGGCAGAUUAAAUAGUGCGUGUGUCUACUUAAAUUAACUCUUCCUUGCCCUCAAUCCUGAGUCGAUUAUACCGUGUUACUGAUCCCCCCUAAUUGCUGCCUGGAUGCUCAUGCUGAUUUAAGAGGGCCUAUUUAGCGGAGUCUUUGGCUGGACGCUGCUAGCCCACAGUGAUCUCUCCCUCUUUGGGACUUGGGUUGGAGUUUGGCUUUUUGGUUGCAAGGGCUCAACUUCUCUUGGGUUGCCCAAGCAUUCUGGGCCUUCUUAUAAGUGUAACUAGGGGAAUCUGACUACACCUUGUCCAUUCCACCUCCCUCUCCCUGGAAAGAGAACAACAAAAUUUAAUCCUGCUCUUUCUAGAAUGAUCUAUCACAGUAACCAAGGGGCAACCAUUGAAAGACAAGAAGGCUCCUUUCCUCUUGAGUUUGGCUCCCAAGACGGAGCUGAGAAGAAACCAGUGUGCAUUUCUUUUUGGAUCAUGCUGAGGAAAGAUCAAGUUAUUAAGAACUUGAACUGGUCUUCUAUGUUAUCAUUCCCUUUUGCAAUUUGUCCCAACUCUUCAGUAAAGAUCUUCCUAAAUACCUACCCAGCCUGGUGUAGAAGUUUUUGGGAGAUGGAACAGACAGAGUGUGAAGGGGUGGGGGCCGCCCACUCCACCUCUUUGGUGACUUCAGUGGGGAGAGGGCAUCCUGCCUGUUGAAUGACCUACAUUCAGCCCCUCCAUUUGUGGCCCGUUGAGUCCGUGGGGGGAGUUGGAGAAAGACCACAGGUGGGGAGGAGAGCCCCUCCGGGGGAAACUCAGGAGAAGCAGUCAAGAUGGCCUAUGUGUCAUGGACAUCUUGGUACUUAAGGGAACAGUUGCAUGGGAAUCCAGACAUGGCCAAAGAGCCAGCCUCAGGAAGGGCGGGAUUGGAGAUCGACCUGGAGCCCCAAAGGUAGCUUUGGGAAACACAAGAGUUUGUGAACUUGGCUCCAUGUUCCAUUAUUUAUUUCCAGGAUUCUGCUCCUCCCCACUUGUCUGCUCCUUCGUAGCUUCCUCUACUGACCGUUUUUCCCCAAAGUCCGCUCUGAAUAGCUUCGUGUACCCGUCCAGAUCCACCUUUCACCCUUCUCUACCCUGCUCUGUGCCCUGGGAGGCUGAACCAUGUAAAACAAAGACCAUUAGAGCUAAAACAUAGAAACUGAGUUUAUUAACUUGCCAGGCAAAUGAACACACACCAGUGAAUAAAUGCACUGAGUUGUUCUUGGAGGAGGAAAAGUCAGUUUUUUGGGUUUCUUUUUGCUUGAGGACGAUUGUUCCUGAGCUAACAUCCAUGCCAAUCUUCCUCUAUUUUGUAUUUUGUAUGUGGGAUGCUGCCACAGCAUGGCUUGUUGAGUGGUAUGUAGAUCUGUGCCUAGGAUCUGAACCCGCGAACCCUGGGCCACUGAAGCAGAGCAUGAGAUCUUAACCACUGUACCACCAGACUGGCCUCCAGAGUUUUUCUAAAGACUUAGUAAGAGGGUUUCAGGAUGGUAAUGCCAAUUAUGGAUCGACAACCAGCACUUUCCAUAGUCUGAGCCCAGUCAGUUAAAACAAGUCCCAUUGUUCAUUGGUGACGAAGAAGCCUGCAGUGAGGGGGGGCCUGGCCUUCCUGAGUCACUCAAAGUUCACAGUCAGUGAACAAUUCCAGCUGGUCAGAACCAGCCACGACACAACACAGAUUCAGUUUUGAUAUCUUUUGGGGCAAAGUGUGCUGCGAGGAAGACACUUCCCUCUACAGCCAAAUGAGUUUCCCCCUGGCUCUGCUUUGGUUUGGCCAAUCAAGGCAGCCCAGGAGAAUAGAUGGUAGGAGGGUGAGGUCGAGGACUUAGUCCCCCAGCUCCUUUCCUGCUGGGUGGCUGUGGGCUGGUUGCAACCAAUGCCCAAACAGCCUUCUCCAUUCAGCUCCCCUGUCCUGGUCUGGUGACAUCAGGCCUCAGGGUGGCAACAGUCCCCGCCAAGGCCAGCUCUCAUGUACUGCAUCCUCCUUUGUUAAUUUCCCUAAACCCUGCCCCCAACUUUGAACAUAAUCU